AACGAACGCUGGCGGCGUGCCUAAGACAUGCAAGUCGUACGGUAAGGCACCUUCGGGUGUACACGAGUGGCGUACGGGUGAGUAACGCGUGGGUAAUCUGCCCUCAGGUCGGGGACAACUUCGGGAAACUGGAGCUAAUACCGGAUAAGCCCACGAGGCCUUCGGGCCUCGCGGGAAAAGGUGGCCUCUCCUUGGAAGCUACCGCCAGGGGAUGAGCCCGCGUCCCAUUAGCUUGUUGGUGAGGUAACGGCUCACCAAGGCGACGAUGGGUAGCUGGUCUGAGAGGAUGAUCAGCCACACUGGAACUGAGACACGGUCCAGACUCCUACGGGAGGCAGCAGUCGGGGAUUUUGGGCAAUGGGCGCAAGCCUGACCCAGCAACGCCGCGUGAGGGAUGAAGGCCCUCGGGUCGUAAACCUCUGUCGGGAGGGAAGAACGUUCUCCGGGUGAAUAGCCCGGGGAGCUGACGGUACCUCCAAAGGAAGCACCGGCUAACUCCGUG
rnacentral:rRNA from 1 species